GACGUAGGGUCCAAGCGUUGUCCGGAUUUACUGGGCGUAAAGAGCGCGUAGGCGGUCUGUUAAGUGUAGAGUGAAAUCUCCAGGGCUCAACCCGGAAACUGCUCUGCAUACUGGCAGACUGGAGUGAUGCAGAGGUUUGUGGAAUUCCUGGUGUAACGGUGAAAUGUGUUGAUAUCAGGAGGAACACCCAUGGCGAAGGCAGCAAACUGGGCAUUAACUGACGCUGAGACGCGAAAGCGUGGGGAGCAAACAGG
rnacentral:rRNA from 1 species